rnacentral:rRNA from 1 species
AUUGAACGCUGGCGGCAUGCUUUACACAUGCAAGUCGAACGGUAACGCGGGGGCAACCCUGGCGACGAGUGGCGAACGGGUGAGUAAUACAUCGGAACAUGUCCUGGAGUGGGGGAUAGCUCGGCGAAAGCCGGAUUAAUACCGCAUACGCUCUGAGGAGGAAAGCGGGGGACCUGGUAACGGCCUCGCGCUGCAGGAGUGGCCGAUGUCGGAUUAGCUAGUUGGUGAGGUAAAGGCUCACCAAGGCGACGAUCCGUAGCUGGUCUGAGAGGAUGAUCAGCCACACUGGGACUGAGACACGGCCCAGACUCCUACGGGAGGCAGCAGUGGGGAAUUUUGGACAAUGGGGGCAACCCUGAUCCAGCCAUGCCGCGUGAGUGAAGAAGGCC